UGCGUUCCAAAGGGUACACAGACGUGCAUAUAAAUUAUCAUCCAGCGGUACGCGGCGGCAAUCUGAUACACCCCCUGUUGACGAAACGGCCAUUGGCGAAUAUUUGAUUCUGUGACAGACAGUGGAUGGUGAUAUGAAAGGAGGAUUUUCUCAAGAUCCCCCAUCUUGUGUAGUUUAGUCCAUGUAGAUUCCAAGAGAGCUCUCACCCUCUCCAUGGCCUAAUCAUUGCCAUCAGUUUAAUCCCAUCCCUGAGGUGUACCCCUCAUUCCCCUCUUUUCGACCUGCCAAUGAGAAGUGGAUGUUCCCGUCACUUGUGCUUUUGUGAGGUAGAAAGGCACUUGGAUCCCUCGCAAUGGUGCGGCGUGGUGGCGUUCGGUAUCGUCGUCGACGGCGAGGGCGCUGGAGCGUGUUACGAGAGGAGGCCAGUGAUGCAGAGGGGGAGAUGGUGAAGGUGGGAUCGAGAGGAGGGGCGAGGUGAUCACCUGAGGGAUUUCCUACAGUGGUAGGCAAGUCUGAUGCUUGGCUGUUGUCUUCAAACAAGAAAGGGGAGUAUCUUUUUUUUUUUUCCUUCUUUUUGUUUUCUUUGAACUGUCUCAUCGAGCGUCCUGUGACUCGCAUCGAUUUGUUGAAACAGUUGGUCGAUUGUGUCUUCGUGUGUCUGGAGUUGUGUCGUGCCAUGGUCGAUCAUGUGUGAGUGUGAAAAUAAUGCGUGCGUUGGUCUGAAGGAUGUAAACAGAGAGAGGAAUGAAGUGUUGUGAGAGGGAAAGAAAAUGCAGAGAUUGGCGAUUCAUUCUCAGGUUUUGAAAUUCGCUUAUUGAUAUGUCCGUCA